rnacentral:lncRNA from 1 species
CAUUUAAUAAAGUACUUCAAGAAAGGGUGACCUCACAAAAGGACUGGCUGGUAACAAGUGGGAGAGGGAGUAUGGAGAGCAUGCUACAUGCAGGGUUGGAAAAUAGAACUGGCCAUUAACAUAAUCUUGAAGGAAAAGAGAAAAUGAAGCUUGUAGCCAAUGCCAUUUUUCAAAAGGAUUGACUUGAUGAAGACAGCUUCUAGGAUAUCCUUUCAUUUGUAUAAAAUGGUGCCUGGAAAAGAUAAAGAAAUGAGAAGAAAUCAUGAGAUAAAAAUGUUUCCAACUGAAGAAAAAAACAGCAAUCUAAUAUCUAUAUAAUCCUGGAACAAACAAAAUGUUCCGCAUUAUCAUCUUCGUCCUAAGAACUAAAAUUUGGAGCCGUUAAUCACAGUUAAGAUUUGUAGAGAGGUCCUGGGAGAUUCAUCAUGAAGUCAUUUUAAAUGUCAUCCUGGUAAAAUUAAGAGUCUGUCUUAUC